rnacentral:rRNA from 1 species
CCUUUCGGAGGGGGAUAACAAUGGGAAACCGUUGCUAAUACCCCAUACAGCUGGGGAGCGAAAGGUGAAAACCACCGAAAGAGGGGCUUGCGUCUGAUUAGCUAGUUGGGGAGGUAAUGGCUUCCCAAGGCCAUGAUCAGUAGCUGGUCUGAGAGGAUGAUCAGCCACACUGGGACUGAGACACGGCCCAGACUCCUACGGGAGGCAGCAGUGAGGAAUUUUCCGCAAUGGGCGAAAGCCUGACGGAGCAAUACCGCGUGGAGGAUGAAAGCCCGUGGGUCGUAAACUCCUUUUCUCAGAGAAGACAAAAGGACGGUAUCUGAGGAAUAAGCUCCGGCUAACUCUGUGCCAGCAGCCGCGGUAAUACAGGGGGAGCAAGCGUUAACCGGAAUGAUUGGGCGUAAAGCGUCUGUAGGUGGCUUUUUAAGUCUACUGUCAAAACCCAGAGCUUAACUUUGGACCGGCAGUGGAAACUGAGGAGCUUGAGUGCGGUAGAGGCAGAGGGAAUUCCUAGUGGAGCAGUGAAAUGCGUAGAGAUUAGGAAGAACACCCGUGGCGAAGGCGCUCUGCUGGGCCGCAACUGACACUGAGAGACGAAAGCUAGGGGAGCAAAUGGGAUUAGAUAC